UUCUUAGAACCGAGGCUCCAGGGACGACGCUAGCUCCCAAAGUGCCUCAGCAGACUCGUCAUCCGCGUCCCAAACCUAAAACCACAGCAAGUCCAGAAGCAGCUCAGACUGAACUGGUUCCUGCUACAGUCUUUGAACCAGUUACUCCUAUAAGAGAGGCUCCAGGGACAGCGCUUGGUAAUGCUGCUUUCUCACCUUCAGCAGUGCUCUCUCUGCUCAUUGUCAAACCCAUUCCACUCUGUUGCCUUUUGGCUACAUUCUUCAUUUUCUGAGCUGAACAUGCAUAAAACAAGUUACCUCCUGUUCUUAAGAGAGUUGUGCCUGAACCUAGUUUGGGAUAUCUUCC